rnacentral:rRNA from 1 species
GACGAACCGUGCGAACGUUAUUCGGAAUCAUUGGGCUUAAAGGGCGCGUAGGCGGCGGUGUAAGUUGGAAGUGAAAUCCCAUCGGCUCAACCGUGGAAUUGCUCCCAGUACUGCAUCGCUCGAGGGGGAUGGGGGUUUGCGGAACGUACCGGUGGAGCGGUGAAAUGUGUUGAUAUCGGUGGGAACGCCAGUGGCGAAAGCGGCAAACUUGACCCUUCCUGACGGCUGAGGCGCGAAAGCUAGGGGAGCAAACGGGG